rnacentral:rRNA from 1 species
AGUGAACGCUGGCGGUAGGCCUAACACAUGCAAGUCGAACGGCAGCACAUUAAGAGCUUGCUCUUACGGGUGGCGAGUGGCGGACGGGUGAGGAAUACAUCGGAAUCUACUUUUUCGUGGGGGAUAACGUAGGGAAACUUACUCUAAUACCGCAUACGACCUACGGGUGAAAGCAGGGGAUCUUCGGACCUUGCGCGAUUGAAUGAGCCGCUGUCGGAUUAGCUAGUUGGCGGGGUAAAGGCCCACCAAGGCGACGAUCCGUAGCUGGUCUGAGAGGAUGAUCGGCCACACUGGAACUGAGACACGGUCCAGACUCCUACGGGAGGCAGCAGUGGGGAAUAUUGGACAAUGGGCGAAAGCCUGAUCCAGCCAUACCGCGUGGGUGAAGAAGGCCUUCGGGUUGUAAAGCCCUUUUGUUGGGAAAGAAAAGCAGCAGGUUAAUACCCCGCUGUUCUGACGGUACCCAAAGAAUAAGCACCGGCUAACUUCGUG